GACGAACGCUGGCGGAGUGCCUAAUACAUGCAAGUAGAAAGCAGUGGCGAACGGGUGAGUAACGAGUAGGUAACUGCCUCAUAGCGGGGGAAAACUAUUGGAAACGAUAGCUAACACAGCAGACUGUGAGAUGGACCUGCGUUGUAUUAGCUAGUUGGUGAGGUAAAGGCUCACCAAGGAGACGAUACAUAGCCGACCUGAGAGGGGGAUCGGCCACACUGGGACUGGGACUCUGCCCAUACUCCUACGGGGGGCAUCAGUAUGGAAUCUUCGGCAAUGGUCGGAAGUCUGACCGAUCAACGCCGCGUGGGUGGAUUAGGUUUUCGGCUCGUGAAGCUCUGUUGUUAGCGAAGCGGUAACUAUCCAGAAAGGGACUUCUAACUACGUGCCAGCAGCCGCGGUAAUAC
rnacentral:rRNA from 1 species